UAAUGUAUGGGGAUCUGCCCGAUAGAGGGGGAUAACUACUGGAAACGGUGGCUAAUACCGCAUAAUGUCUACGGACCAAAGCAGGGGCUCUUCGGACCUUGCACUAUCGGAUGAACCCAUAUGGGAUUGCUAGUAGGUGGGGUAAAGGCUCACCUAGGCGACGAUCUCUAGCUGGUCUGAGAGGAUGAUCAGCCACACUGGGACUGAGACACGGCCCAG
rnacentral:rRNA from 1 species